GACCUGGCCUGUUCUCUGCCAACACCCAAAUCUGUUUAUUCUGAGCAAGGCUGUGUUUGCUUUUGAAGCAGGUCAAGUACAUGUCUAAAAGCUGGACGAGAGAUGAUGCAAUCCCAGAGAUCGUCCAGGAAAGCUGCUGUUUUGCCUGCAUCUGAUGCUUCGAGGGCAGGGAUGGGGAACCUGCAGCCCUCCAGAUAUGGUUGAGCUCCAACUCCCAUCUGCCCCAGUCAACAUGAUCAAUAGUCAUGGACAAUGGGAACUGUAGUCCAAUAACAUCUGAGGGGGCACACGUUCUCUAUCCCUGCCCUCUUUACCUAUUUAAUUUAGUUUUUAACACAAAAAGUCCACAUCAAGACCUGAUAUAUCCAAUUAUCUUUUUAUAUAGGCUGUUAACUGACUCUGUUUACGCAAGGGAGAAACGUGCUAAGAGGAAGGCACGCUUGGCAAAUCCACACCAUGACCAGCUCCCGCCCAGAAACCAAUGUCCCCACAGUGGAAGGACGUGUGGAUCCAGAAUUGGCCUCCACCGUCACUUACGGACUCAUUGUUAAAACCGUGUUUAUGGAAGACAAUCUUACUCGGCUACGAGUGAUCGCCAGAGAAGAAGAUGUAAUUAUUCUUGGUAAUUAUCUCUAUUCUUUAACACUGCACAUCCUCCAACAUUCCUUAGGUGAAAAUAGGGACGUUUCUCAUUCCCCAACAACUGACCCUACUCAAGUCACCAUUUUUAGUGUGUCUCCCCACCCCCACCCCUCACAGAGCAUUUCCUAUCAGAGGAAGGGAAAGUGCCACCACUGCCACUACAGCAAUGGGACACAGCACACAAACACCCUCCACCAUCCUGAGAAAACCCCUUAAUCCCGAUUUUAUUUUAUUCCUUAGCAGAUUUACAAAAAGAAAAGCACACACCAAUAAAUAAAUUUUAGAAAGGGGCAGAGACACACAAAGGAUUAAAAAAUAAAAUAAAAACCAAGAUUCCUUGCGCUCUGCUCCUCCUUUCUUCACAUUCAUGGGGGCCCUGCCCUCUGCCUGCCCCUCAAAGCCAGCACAUCACAAAGGGUUGAGCCUCUCUUCCUCCUCCUCACCCACUCUCCAGCUGCCACUACGAACUGCCCAAGGGGGGAGGCUGGCAGCAGCAGUCAUGGAGAGGCCACGGGAUGCUCUCUCACAGCCGCCACCAUUCAGGACAAGCGCUGGCUCAUCCUCCUGCCCGAGCUCAGCAGUGGAGGCACUGGGGGAGGAGAGAUAGGGUCAUUCCAGGAUCCAAUCAGAAGCCGAGAUGGCUUUCGUAAUUCCGGGACUGUCCCUGGAAAAUCGGGACACUUGGAGGGCAUGACAUGUUUAGUUCUUUCAGAAAUGGUUGCAAUGUAAGGGGAAAGGUGAGUACAACCACGUUAUUCUGCUGUAAGCACAUUUUGUUUUGUAAAGGAUUAACUAUGUGGGGAGAUAAACUGGGAGUUCUUUUUUGGCUGAGGCCAGAAAAGAUACCACGUACGUGGGCUCACUUGUCAGUCUGCCAAGAAGCAGCUAAGCUGCUUGUUUCAAAAGGGCUGCUUUGUUUACCUACUUGUGGAGGUUUGAGUUAUGGUGACUAAUAACAGGAUCUAACUUUUAUAUGGUUCAGGUGACUUGAAAUGUGUCGAAAACUUCUGGAAGUCCUUUAGCCUCCAUGGGCAGAGGCAGCAAUGCUUCUGAAUACCAGUUGCUGGAAGCCACAGGAAGGAACAGUGCUCUUGUGCUUGGGCCCUGCUUGCAGGUUUCUCACAGGCAUCUAUCUGCUUGGCCACUGUGAGAACAGGACGUCAGACUGGAUGGGCCAUUAGCCUCAUUCAGCAAGAUUUUCUUACGUUCUUGGUGGACUUUCUAUUCUUUGGUCCUUAAUGAUAGGCCAAUGAGGAUUCAGAGCCAUUAAAGAUAAUACCUGGCAGUCCUGCUAGUUCAACCAGUUUGGCAGACUACUACACUGUUACAGUCACAGGGCUGGAAGAGAAUGUGAGGUUAUCAAGUUCACGCACACACCCAAUCUCAUUAUAAUGUCAAGGUGGUUAAACCACUCCUCAUAAUCUGCAAGAUCUGAAUUAAUACAGAAUUGAGUUGGACUGAGAUUAUGGCUAUAGGUAAAGGACGCGGGUGGUGCUGUGGUCUAAACCACUGAGCCUAGGGCUUGCUGAUCAGAAGGUUGGUGGUUCGAAUCCCCAUGGCGGGGUGAGCUCCUGUUGCUUGGUCCCAGCUCCUGCCAACCUAGCAGUUCGAAAGCACGCCAAAAAGUGCAAGUAGAUAAAUAGGUACCGCUCCGGCAGGAAGGUAAAUGGCGUUUCCGUGUGCUGCUCUGGUUUCGCCAGAAGCAGCUUAGUCAUGCUGGCCACAAGACCCGGAAAAACUGUCUGCGGACAAAUGUCGGCUCCCUUGGCCAGUAAAGCGAGGUGAGCACCGCAACCCCAGAGUCGUUCGCGACUGGACUUAACUGUCAGGGGUUCUUUACCUUUUAAAGGACUACAGCAGUAGAGUUGCUGUGAGGGGUCAGUUUGAGAAGCUUCACAGCAGUGGAUGCAAUACUCAGGAAAGGCUUAGAAAAUGAAAGAGAGACAACUUGUUCAUGCGCUAUUUGCACACACUUCUCUCUCAAAUAUAGGUUAUCCAGACCACUAAUCGGGUUGGUUGGAGGCAACCACUGGAUCAGAGAAGUUGCUUCAUCCUUCACGUAACAGGCCCCUGCCACAUUCCAGCACUCAGCCACAAUCGUUUUCUAAGAGCACUAAACCAAUAAAAAUGCCAAGUUGGUCUGGAGUCAGCACAUUCUGUGUGACAAGGAAUACCACACCUAUGCACUGCCUGACGCCAGACAUCAUAGCAUUUGUGGCUUCUGUAAAAUCACUCCUUUAGCAAAUACCAACAUGUGGGGUUGUGCCCCAAAGCAACCAAAUAUCCAAGCAUAUCUCAUCCACAAUGCAGGAGAAGGGAAAUGAACACAUUCAAUGCUAAUGAAAAAGUUUUGCUCUAACGGUAGAAGAUAAUUCAGAACCUAUCAUUCUCUCUGCUAGGGACACAGGGGUUUAGCAGUCCUGGACCCCCUUGGUCUCCACAGCAUGAAAUCUCUAAGGUCUGAAAUCACUAAAGCCUGAACCCUCUUAAGGGAUUGCAAGAAGUUCCGAAGGGACCUCUCAAAAUUGGGAAUGGGUAUUAAAAUGUCAAAUGUGAUGCAACAUAAACAAGUGGAACGAUAUUGCCCCAAUCUUUAUGUUUCAUCAUAGAUACAUUUUAAGGGUGCCACACAGUGUUCACCUUCCUUCCACAAUAAAUAGGGUGUUUAGUGUGUCUUUACCUAGAUUCUGGAACUCCUUCACUAUUAAUUUUAAGCACCUUAAGAGUCUUCUCUUACAUAUAGCUCGACCAUCAAUUAUUGUCUAGCAUUGUCCAGAUGUUAAGUAUGUUUAUAUUGUUUUAUGAAUGUAUUAAGUUCACCCCCCU